UGGCGGACGGGUGAGUAACGCGUGAGAAUCUAGCUUCAGGUUGGGGACAACAGUUGGAAACGACUGCUAAUACCGAAUAUGCCGAGAGGUGAAAGAUUAAUUGCCUGGAGAAGAGCUCGCGUCUGAUUAGCUAGUUGGUGGGGUAAGAGCUUACCAAGGCGACGAUCGGUAGCUGGUCUGAGAGGACGAUCAGCCACACUGGGACUGAGACACGGCCCAGACUCCUACGGGAGGCAGCAGUGGGGAAUUUUCCGCAAUGGGCGAAAGCCUGACGGAGCAAUACCGCGUGAGGGAAGAAGGCUCUUGGGUUGUAAACCUCUUUUCUUAGGGAAGAAAAAAAUGACGGUACCUAAGGAAUAAGCAUCGGCUAACUCCGUGCCAGCAGCCGCAGUAAUACGGAGGAUGCAAGCGUUAUCCGGAAUGAUUGGGCGUAAAGCGUCCGCAGGUGGCAGUGAAAGUCUGCUGUCAAAGGUCAGGGCUUAACCCUGAACAGGCAGUGGGAAC
rnacentral:rRNA from 1 species